UUAAGCGACUAAGCGUACACGGUGGAUGCCCUGGCAGUCAGAGGCGAUGAAGGACGUGCUAAUCUGCGAAAAGCGUCGGUAAGGUGAUAUGAACCGUUAUAACCGGCGAUGUCCGAAUGGGGAAACCCAGUGCAAUUCGUUGCACUAUCGUUAACUGAAUACAUAGGUUAACGAGGCGAACCGGGGGAACUGAAACAUCUAAGUACCCCGAGGAAAAGAAAUCAACCGAGAUUCCCCCAGUAGCGGCGAGCGAACGGGGAGCAGCCCAGAGUCUGAAUCAGCUUGUGUGUUAGUGGAACGGUCUGGAAAGUCCGACGGUACAGGGUGAUAGUCCCGUACACCAAAAUGCACAGGUUGUGAACUCGAAGAGUAGGGCGGGACACGUGGUAUCCUGUCUGAAUAUGGGGGGACCAUCCUCCAAGGCUAAAUACUCCUGACUGACCGAUAGUGAACCAGUACCGUGAGGGAAAGGCGAAAAGAACCCCGGCGAGGGGAGUGAAAAAGAACCUGAAACCGUGUACGUACAAGCAGUGGGAGCACCUUCGGGUGUGACUGCGUACCUUUUGUAUAAUGGGUCAGCGACUUAUAUUCUGUAGCAAGGUUAACCGUAUAGGGGAGCCGCAGGGAAACCGAGUCUUAACUGGGCGUUAAGUUGCAGGGUAUAGACCCGAAACCCGGUGAUCUAGCCAUGGGCAGGUUGAAGGUUGGGUAACACUAACUGGAGGACCGAACCGACUAAUGUUGAAAAAUUAGCGGAUGACUUGUGGCUGGGGGUGAAAGGCCAAUCAAACCGGGAGAUAGCUGGUUCUCCCCGAAAGCUAUUUAGGUAGCGCCUCGUGAACUCAUCUUCGGGGGUAGAGCACUGUUUCGGCUAGGGGGUCAUCCCGACUUACCAACCCGAUGCAAACUACGAAUACCGAAGAAUGUUAUCACGGGAGACACACGGCGGGUGCUAACGUCCGUCGUGAAGAGGGAAACAACCCAGACCGCCAGCUAAGGUCCCAAAGUCAUGGUUAAGUGGGAAACGAUGUGGGAAGGCACAGACAGCCAGGAUGUUGGCUUAGAAGCAGCCAUCAUUUAAAGAAAGCGUAAUAGCUCACUGGUCGAGUCGGCCUGCGCGGAAGAUGUAACGGGGCUAAACCAUGCACCGAAGCUGCGGCAGCGACGCUUAUGCGUUGUUGGGUAGGGGAGCGUUCUGUAAGCCUGCGAAGGUGACCUGUGAGGGUUGCUGGAGGUAUCAGAAGUGCGAAUGCUGACAUAAGUAACGAUAAAGCGGGUGAAAAGCCCGCUCGCCGGAAGACCAAGGGUUCCUGUCCAACGUUAAUCGGGGCAGGGUGAGUCGACCCCUAAGGCGAGGCCGAAAGGCGUAGUCGAUGGGAAACAGGUUAAUAUUCCUGUACUUGGUGUUACUGCGAAGGGGGGACGGAGAAGGCUAUGUUAGCCGGGCGACGGUUGUCCCGGUUUAAGCAUGUAGGCGGAGGUUCCAGGUAAAUCCGGUACCUUUUAACGCUGAGGUGUGAUGACGAGGCACUACGGUGCUGAAGUAACAAAUGCCCUGCUUCCAGGAAAAGCCUCUAAGCAUCAGGUAACAUUAAAUCGUACCCCAAACCGACACAGGUGGUCAGGUAGAGAAUACCAAGGCGCUUGAGAGAACUCGGGUGAAGGAACUAGGCAAAAUGGUGCCGUAACUUCGGGAGAAGGCACGCUGGUGUGUAGGUGAAGUCCCUGCGGAUGGAGCUGAGACCAGUCGAAGAUACCAGCUGGCUGCAACUGUUUAUUAAAAACACAGCACUGUGCAAACACGAAAGUGGACGUAUACGGUGUGACGCCUGCCCGGUGCCGGAAGGUUAAUUGAUGGGGUUAUCCGUAAGGAGAAGCUCUUGAUCGAAGCCCCGGUAAACGGCGGCCGUAACUAUAACGGUCCUAAGGUAGCGAAAUUCCUUGUCGGGUAAGUUCCGACCUGCACGAAUGGCGUAAUGAUGGCCAGGCUGUCUCCACCCGAGACUCAGUGAAAUUGAACUCGCUGUGAAGAUGCAGUGUACCCGCGGCAAGACGGAAAGACCCCGUGAACCUUUACUAUAGCUUGACACUGAACAUUGAGCCUUGAUGUGUAGGAUAGGUGGGAGGCUUUGAAGCGUGGACGCCAGUCUGCGUGGAGCCAACCUUGAAAUACCACCCUUUAAUGUUUGAUGUUCUAACGUUGGCCCGUAAUCCGGGUUGCGGACAGUGUCUGGUGGGUAGUUUGACUGGGGCGGUCUCCUCCCAAAGAGUAACGGAGGAGCACGAAGGUUAGCUAAUCCUGGUCGGACAUCAGGAGGUUAGUGCAAUGGCAUAAGCUAGCUUGACUGCGAGCGUGACGGCGCGAGCAGGUGCGAAAGCAGGUCAUAGUGAUCCGGUGGUUCUGAAUGGAAGGGCCAUCGCUCAACGGAUAAAAGGUACUCCGGGGAUAACAGGCUGAUACCGCCCAAGAGUUCAUAUCGACGGCGGUGUUUGGCACCUCGAUGUCGGCUCAUCACAUCCUGGGGCUGAAGUAGGUCCCAAGGGUAUGGCUGUUCGCCAUUUAAAGUGGUACGCGAGCUGGGUUUAGAACGUCGUGAGACAGUUCGGUCCCUAUCUGCCGUGGGCGCUGGAGAAUUGAGGGGGGCUGCUCCUAGUACGAGAGGACCGGAGUGGACGCAUCACUGGUGUUCGGGUUGUCAUGCCAAUGGCACUGCCCGGUAGCUAAAUGCGGAAGAGAUAAGUGCUGAAAGCAUCUAAGCACGAAACUUGCCCCGAGAUGAGUUCUCCCUGAGACUUUAAGUCUCCUGAAGGAACGUUGAAGACGACGACGUUGAUAGGCCGGGUGUGUAAGCGCAGCGAUGCGUUGAGCUAACCGGUACUAAUGAACCGUGAGGCUUAACCUU
rnacentral:rRNA from 1 species